rnacentral:rRNA from 1 species
GGAUUAGAUACCCUGGUAGUCCACGCCGUAAACGAUGUCUACUAGCCGUUGGGUUCCUUGAGGACUUAGUGGCGCAGCUAACGCAAUAAGUAGACCGCCUGGGGAGUACGGUCGCAAGAUUAAAACUCAAAUGAAUUGACGGGGGCCCGCACAAGCGGUGGAGCAUGUGGUUUAAUUCGACGCAACGCGAAGAACCUUACCAGGUCUUGACAUCCAGAGAACUUUCCAGAGAUGGAUUGGUGCCUUCGGGAACUCUGAGACAGGUGCUGCAUGGCUGUCGUCAGCUCGUGCC